CACGGAUCCAGAGUUUGAUCAUGGCUCAGGAUGAACGCUGGCGGCGUGCUUAACACAUGCAAGUCGAGCGAAGCACUUAAGUGAAUUCUUUCGGGAUGAAGCUUAUUUGACUGAGCGGCGGACGGGUGAGUAACGCGUGGGUAACCUGCCUCAUACAGGGGAAUAACAGUUAGAAAUGACUGCUAAUGCCGCAUAAGCGCACACUACCGCAUGGUAGAGUGUGAAAAACUCCGGUGGUAUGAGAUGGACCCGCGUCUGAUUAGCUAGUUGGUGAGGUAACGGCCCACCAAGGCGACGAUCAGUAGCCGACCUGAGAGGGUGACCGGCCACAUUGGGACUGAGACACGGCCCAAACUCCUACGGGAGGCAGCAGUGGGGAAUAUUGCACAAUGGGGGAAACCCUGAUGCAGCGACGCCGCGUGGGUGAAGAAGUAUUUCGGUAUGUAAAGCCCUAUCAGCAGGGAAGAAAAUGACAGUACCUGACUAAGAAGCCCCGGCUAACUACGUGCCAGCAGCCGCGGUAAUACGUAGGGGGCAAGCGUUAUCCGGAUUUACUGGGUGUAAAGGGAGCGUAGGUGGCUUGGCAAGCCAGAAGUGAAAACCCGGGGCUUAACCCCGCGGAUUGCUUUUGGAACUGUUAGGCUUGAGUGCAGGAGGGGCAGGCGGAAUUCCUGGUGUAGCAGUGAAAUGCGUAGAUAUUAGGAGGAACACCAGUGGCGAAAGCGGCUUUCUGGACGACAACUGACGCUGAGGCGCGAAAGCCAGGGGAGCAAACGGGAUUAGAUACCCCGGUAGUCCUGGCCGUAAACGAUGGAUACUAGGUGUAGGAGGUAUCGACCCCUUCUGUGCCGGAGUUAACGCAAUAAGUAUCCCGCCUGGGGAGUACGGCCGCAAGGCUGAAACUCAAAGGAAUUGACGGGGGCCCGCACAAGCGGUGGAGUAUGUGGUUUAAUUCGACGCAACGCGAAGAACCUUACCAAGCCUUGACAUUGAUUGCUAUGGAUAGAGAUAUCCAGUUCCUCUUCGGAGGACAAGAAAACAGGUGGUGCACGGCUGUCGUCAGCUCGUGUCGUGAGAUGUUGGGUUAAGUCCCGCAACGAGCGCAACCCCUAUCUUCUGUUACCAGCGGUUCGGCCGGGGACUCAGGAGAGACUGCCGCAGACAAUGCGGAGGAAGGCGGGGAUGACGUCAAGUCAUCAUGCCCCUUAUGGCUUGGGCUACACACGUACUACAAUGGCUCUUAAUAGAGGGAAGCGAAGGAGCGAUCCGGAGCAAACCCCAAAAACAGAGUCCCAGUUCGGAUUGCAGGCUGCAACUCGCCUGCAUGAAGCAGGAAUCGCUAGUAAUCGCAGGUCAGCAUACUGCGGUGAAUACGUUCCCGGGCCUUGUACACACCGCCCGUCACACCACGAAAGUCAUUCACACCCGAAGCCGGUGAGGUAACCUUUUGGAGCCAGCCGUCGAAGGUGGGGGCGAUGAUUGGGGUGAAGUCGUAACAAGGUAGCCGUAAGCUUCAC
rnacentral:rRNA from 1 species